AUUGAACGCUAGCGAGAUGCUUUACACAUGCAAGUCGAACGAGUGGAGGACGGGUGAGGAAUAUAUCGGAACGUGCCCAGUAGCGGGGGAUAAGUACUCGAAAGAGUGGCUAAUACCGCAUACUAUUGGAGCGGCCGAUGUCGGAUUAGCUAGUGGGUGGGGGAAAGGCUGACCAAGGCAAAGAUCCGUAGCAGGUUUGAGAGGAUGACCAGCCACACUGGGACUGAGACACGGCCCAGACUCCUACGGGAGGCAGCAGUGGGGAAUUUUGGGCAAUGGAGGAAACCCUGAUCCAGCCAUCCCGCGUGUAUGAGAAGGCCUUCGGGUUGUAAAGCACUUUUGGCAGAGAAGCGGUAUCUGCCGAAUAAGCACCGGCUAACUACGUGCCAGCAGCCGCGGUAAUUC
rnacentral:rRNA from 1 species